AUUUCAUUCUUAAAUGUGGUGUUAUUGAUGCAAGUAAACAAGCUAAAAAAUUAUUUAGAUGCUCCAAGAAGUCCUUACGGUUAAAUCAGAGAGCACUGUUGAAUAGCAUAUUGCCAGCGCCGCGGACCUCCAGUUAAGAGACCAGAACUUAAACUACUAGAGUACAUGGUUUCUUGAAAUUUACGCGGAAGAUAUUCGAAAGACUAUUGCCAUAUGAAAUAAAGUAUGCAGCUAUAGUAGUAUGAAUAGAGUGCUAAUUUUGGAUAGAACUGCUAAAGUUUGAUGCUUCCUAUUGGGGCCAGUUUUUUAGGCGUCAGUCAGCAAAAAGUAGAUACGUCACAACUACCCCCUCCUCCCUUCCAUAACCUAAAAAUCAUAAAGUAAAACUCUAAACGUUAAACAAUUGUUUUGUUUGUUAAAUAUUACAAUAAG